rnacentral:lncRNA from 1 species
CUCUUCUAUGCAGUGGUCUAAAGUGGCACCAGGAUGAGAAAUUUUCUUCAUCUUUUGCCUAAGAGAAGGUCAGACAUGGCAAAUCCCUGGGGUGAGAGGCCCACUGGAAAGUUACUGUAUAACUACACUCCGUGCAGUAUGAAUCACAGAACUGGAAAAUUACUCAGCAAUGAGGAAAAGACAUGGCCCGUGGAAUCCAAGACCUGCAUUCAUAUCUGUAGACAUGAGUUUAACUUAAAUUAGUAGUUCUCAGCCUUUCUAAUGUAGC